rnacentral:tRNA from 1 species
GGAGGAUUACCCAAGUCCGGCUUAAGGGAACGGUCUUGAAAACCGUCAGGUCGCGAAAGCGGCGCGUGGGUUCGAAUCCCACAUCCUCCUUCA